rnacentral:ncRNA from 1 species
GCAACCUGACAGCUGGCGCAUGGCAACCCGGUGGUGUUCCGCUCGCUGCUGGGCAUCAGCUGGAUGUGGUUCUUCGGGGCGGUGUACCUCUCGCAGUUCCCCAGAUUCGCCAAGGAGGUGCUG